UACAGAGGGUGCGAGCGUUAAUCGGAAUUACUGGGCGUAAAGCGUGCGUAGACGGCUAUCUAAGUCGGGUGUGAAAGCCCCGGGCUCAACCUGGGAAUUGCAUUCGAGACUGAAUAGCUAGGGUACGGUAGAGGGAAGCGGAAUUUCCGGUGUAGCGGUGAAAUGCGUAGAUAUCAGGAGGAACAUCGGUGGCGAAGGCGGCUUACUGGACCAGUACUGACACUGAGGAGCGAAAGCAUGGGGAUCAAACAGG
rnacentral:rRNA from 1 species